UACGAAGGGGGCUAGCGUUGCUCGGAAUCACUGGGCGUAAAGGUGCGUAGGCGGGUCUUUAAGUCAGGGGUGAAAUCCUGGAGCUCAACUCCAGAACUGCCUUUGAUACUGAGGAUCUUGAGUUCGGGAGAGGUGAGUGGAACUGCGAGUGUAGAGGUGAAAUUCGUAGAUAUUCGCAAGAACACCAGUGGCGAAGGCGGCUCACUGGCCCGAUACUGACGCUGAGGCACGAAAGCCAGGGGAGCGAACGGG
rnacentral:rRNA from 1 species